rnacentral:rRNA from 1 species
CAGCACUUUGCCAACUCGUAAGAGGAAGUAUAAGGUGUGACGCCUGCCCGGUGCUCGAAGGUUAAGAGGAUGCGUCAGUCGCAAGAUGAAGCGUUGAAUUGAAGCCCGAGUAAACGGCGGCCGUAACUAUAACGGUCCUAAGGUAGCGAAAUUCCUUGUCGGUUAAAUACCGACCUGCAUGAAUGGCGUAACGAGAUGGGAGCUGUCUCAACCAGAGAUUCAGUGAAAUUGUAGUGGAGGUGAAAAUUCCUCCUACCCGCGGCAAGACGGGAAGACCCCGUGGACCUUUACUACAACUUAGCACUGCUAAUGGGAAUAUCAUGCGC